UCCGCCGCUGGUCAUCGUCGGUGCGGGGCUGGUGCUGCUGCUGGUGGCGCUGCCGGUCGCGGCGUUCCUGAUCGUCCGGUCGCGCCGGGCCGGCGGGU
rnacentral:tRNA from 1 species